UGGUUCUGGCAUCGAUGAAGAACGCAGCGAAAUGCGAUAUGUAAUAUGAAUUGCAGAAUUACAUGAUUAUCGAAUCUUUGAACGCACAUUGCGCCCCUCGGUAUUCCGACGGGCAUGCCUGUUCGAGCGUCAUUUUCACCCUCAAGCUUUGCUUGGUAUUGGGGGCAGGUCCCAGCGGCCUUCCCUCCAAAAAAUAGCGGCGGUCCGCUCUAGGGUCCCAGCGCAGUGACUUAAAAAUCUCGCUGAAAAGGAUUCCUGGGCGGCACCUGCCGGACAACAAAAAUUUUUUUCAAAGGUUGACCUCGGAUCAGGUAGGGAUACCCGCUGA
rnacentral:misc_RNA from 1 species